CUCUAGAGCUAAUACAUGCCACGAAGCCCUGACCCGCAAGGGAAUGGGUGCACUUAUUAGAUCAGAAGCCAACCAGGCACCGGUCGCAAGACUGGUGUCUGCUGUCGUUCUGGUGACUCUGGAUAAUUGUUACAGAUCGCAGUCGGCCUUGAGUCGGC
rnacentral:rRNA from 1 species